rnacentral:rRNA from 1 species
UAGGGAAUCUUCGGCAAUGGACGAAAGCCUGAUCCAGCAAUGCCGCGUGUGUGAAGAAGGUCUUCGGAUUGUAAAGCACUUUCGACGGGGACGAUGAUGACGGUACCCGUAGAAGAAGCCCCGGCUAACUUCGUGCCAG